rnacentral:rRNA from 1 species
UGAAUACGAGACGCUAAGGCGUCGAAGUAGUGUAUGUCAUACUUCCAAGAAAAGCUUGCACUGUCAUAGAUAAAAAACGCCUGUACCAUAACCGACACAGGUGGGUAGGUAGAGUAUACUAAGGGGCGCGAGAUAACUCUCUCUAAGGAACUCGGCAAAAUAACUCCGUAACUUCGGGAGAAGGAGUGCCUUAUUCUUAAGGUUGCAAUAACAAGAUCCAAGCAACUGUUUAUCAAAAACACAGGUCUCCGCUAAGUCGUAAGACGAUGUAUGGGGGCUGACGCCUGCCCAGUGCCAUAAGGUUAAAGAAGCUGGUUAGCAUUUGCGAAGCUAGUAACUGAAGCCCUGGUGAACGGCGGCCAUAACGAUAACGGUCCUAAGGUAGCGAAAUUCCUUGUCGGGUAAGUUCCGACCCGCACGAAAGGCGUAAUGAUUUGGAUACUGUCUCGGAGAGGGGCUCGGUGAAAUAGACUUGUCUGUGAAGAUGCGGACUACCUGCACCAGGACAGAAAGACCCUAUGAAGCUUUACUGUAACUUGAAAUUGAAAUUGGACUUUAUUCGCGCAGUAUAGGUGGGAGGCGUUGAUUAUAAUCUUGCGGGAUUAUUGGAGCCAUUAGUGAGAUACCACUCUUGUAAUGUUAGAUUUCUAACUUUGAAUCAUUAUCUGGUCAAAGAACAGUUUCAGGCGGGCAGUUUGACUGGGGCGGUCGCCUCCUAAACGGUAACGGAGGCGUACAAAGGUUUCCUCUGAACGGUUAGAAAUCGUAUCUAGAGUGUAAAGGCAUAAGGAAGCUUGACUGUGAGACCUACAAGUCGAGCAGGGACGAAAGUCGGUCUUAGUGAUCUGACGGUACUGAGUGGAAAGGCCGUCACUCAACGGAUAAAAGUUACUCUAGGAUAACAGGCUGAUCUCCCCCAAGAGUUCACAUCGACGGGGAGGUUUGGCACCUCGAUGUCGGCUCAUCGCAUCCUGGGGCGGUAGUACGUCCCAAGGGUUGGGCUGUUCGCCCAUGAAAGCGGUACGCGAGCUGGGUUCAGAACGUCGUGAGACAGUUCGGUCCAUAUCCGGUGUAGGCGUUAGAAUAUUGAGAGGAGCCUUCUUUAGUACGAGAGGACCGAGAAGGACAUACCUCUGGUGUACCAGUUAUCGUGCCAACGGUAAACGCUGGGUAGCUAUGUAUGGAGUGGAUAACCGCUGAAAGCAUCUAAGUGGGAAGCCCACCUCAAGAUAAGUAUUCUCA